GAUGAACGCUGGCGGCGUGCCUAAUACAUGCAAGUCGAGCGAACAGACGAGGAGCUUGCUCCUCUGACGUUAGCGGCGGACGGGUGAGUAACACGUGGAUAACCUACCUAUAAGACUGGGAUAACUUCGGGAAACCGGAGCUAAUACCGGAUAAUAUAUUGAACCGCAUGGUUCAAUAGUGAAAGACGGUUUUGCUGUCACUUAUAGAUGGAUCCGCGCCGCAUUAGCUAGUUGGUAAGGUAACGGCUUACCAAGGCGACGAUGCGUAGCCGACCUGAGAGGGUGAUCGGCCACACUGGAACUGAGACACGGUCCAGACUCCUACGGGAGGCAGCAGUAGGGAAGCUGCCACAAUGGGCGAAAGCCUGACGGAGCAACGCCGCGUGAGUGAUGAAGGUCUUCGGAUCGUAAAACUCUGUUAUUAGGGAAGAACAAAUGUGUAAGUAACUAUGCACGUCUUGACGGUACCUAAUCAGAAAGCCACGGCUAACUACGUG
rnacentral:rRNA from 1 species